ensembl:lncRNA
GCCCUCCCGCAGGGUCCCGGUGCCGUGCGGGUCUCCGUGCCGCCCCGCGCCGUAACACCGCCACCUGCUGCGGUAGCACCGGCACGUGGCAGAGAGGAGAGGCCGUCUGGCUCUGGGAAACACGGGGAGCUGCCGCAAAAGGUGCAGCGGAUGCUGCCGCGGAGCGCUGCCGCGGAGUGCUGCGAGAUCCCGGCGGACGCAUCCACGUGUCCCGCGGGCGGUACGCAGCCCCGUACAGGGACUCAGGGAGCUGCACGCUGCCCGGCUCGUUACCGACCCGCUGUGCAGCGUUUUCUAAAAGUCCGUCCAGAUUUUGGCCUUCCCGCAUAUCAUCAUGACUGAGGUGAUAAUGAUUAAUGGGUUAAAACUCAUUAUUAAUACAAGAGUAACUCUGCGUGCUAGUUAAAAUUAAAUAUGUUCCUUUCCUUUUCUUGACUGCAUUUAAGAAGAAAAAUAUGGCACGCCAUGCUGAGAAGUAACUGGCAUAUUUGCUUCCUUUUCAGACCUUCUAUCUGCCUAUAUUUUUCUUUCCUAUUAUUUGUUUUGAUCUCUUGUCACAGAGCAGCAUACGUUUCAGUGGUUUCUUUGAUUUUCUGACAGGUUCUGGACGUAUUUACCACCUUAAAAUCAAGUUAGGGUUUCAGAACAUCCACUACAAAGCAAAACUAAACUGUAAGAGCCAAAAAAAGUAAAUAAUAACUGUAAUUAAUCAUAUUUAGUAGUAUAUUUGCAGAAGUAUUUAACAGAACUAACAAAAAAUUGUCGUAUCAUUUGUAGUAUGCAAGCUUAUUUAUAGUAUGCAAGCAUUCAUAGUACGCAAAACAGGGAUUUAAGUUUGUAGUACAAUGCACAGAUACUUGUUACCAACCAAAGCUCCUGCCAAAUAAAUAAAUAAAUAACCAAUUUUAAGUAUAGCUUCUAAAUUCAGUGCAUAUUCUUUCUAUUUCUGCUUUUUGGGUCCCCCUCCGCCUCCUCCCAUACCCUCCAAAAACCACCUUUCUAACUAGAGAAAUUCUUUCUAAUUUUAGUAUAUUAAUGGCAAGUAGAGGGCAAAGAUAUUUCUUGUCUUAGUUUCAGCUGGGAUGGAAUUGUUUUCUUCAGAGCAUCUGGUAUGAUGCUAUGUUUUGGUUCUGGGAGAAAAACAACACUGAUAACACACCAAUGUUUAUAGCUGCCUGCAAAGCGGUGUUGUACAGAGCAAAGGCCAUCCUCAGCAAAGGGCCCGAGGAGCUGGGAGGGAACAGAAUGAGAAUGGUUGACUUAAGUGGGCCAAAGAGAUAUUCUAUACCGUAUGACAUUAUGUGGAAGGAGUUUCGAUGGGGGUGGGAGUUCAACUCAUUCUCUUUCGCUGCUCAGAAGGCUAAGUGCACAUUGGUUGGGGGGCAGAGAGCAAUUCCUUGUGCACCACUUCUUAUAUACUUUCAUAUGUGUAUAUAUAUGUGUGUGUGUGUGUACAUCAUAAUUAUUAUCCUUUUCCUUUUCUCUAUCUUAGUAAGUAAUUUUAUCUCAACCCCAGAGUUCUACUUAGUUGUUUUUUCUAAUUAUCUCCCCCGUCCCACUGAGAAGUGGGGGAGUGAAUGAGCAAUUGUGUGGUGCUGAGCCACCUGCAGGGUUAAACCACAACAUUCCUAAAAGAGCACAGCUCAAUAUAGAGUCUUGUCACAAGGUGCAUUUGUGUACCGAUUCAGCUGGGAGCAUGUGAAUGCAUUUAUGUAGGCACAGACAUGGAUGCCUGCAGCGCAGAGAACGGUCUGACCUGAGACUAUGGGUUUAAAAAGCCUCCACACAGGGAGGGGUUUUUUCCUAAGAGAGGGUGGAGUUAAAAUUACAAGGGAUUGUAAAUUCAUGUGAAGAAUACUGUUGUUCAACUUCACGUUGGAGCUUGGUCUCCCCACUUUAUCAAAGGGAUAGAUCAGACGUGGCUUCACACAGUUCCCCACAGCCAUUCACAUAAGACCUCGACAGUCACCCAUCUUCAAUCUACCAUGCAGCUGUGGCAUGAUUCAAAUCCAGAAGCCAUUAUUUAUGGCUCAUUUUUUUCCUUAACUUUGCAAAGUCAGGAAACUAAGAAAAUUGCUUAGGAAGGAUCAUAUCUUCUCAUGAGAGACAUUUAUUUCAUUGCUUAAAAAGUAAGCAUUACACGUCUUUUGACACUGGUAGGUUGUCUGAGCUUGGUUUGUGUUAUUAUGAUCCAGUUCUCAUGAAUAGCUCUCUUCAUGGGUGUGAUAGUCACUUAAUUAUUUUUAUUCCCACAGCUGCAUAUGUGCUUCUGCCCCUGCGCCCUUUUCUCUCUGCAGCCCCCACCCUUUUCCUCAAUUCCACUAAUAUUUGGGUAAUUUAAAUCCUUGAGGAACUCGGUCACCUAUGCUAAGGUUAUUAGGUCCUAAAUAUAUAGAUCCCUGCCAUGUAAAAAAAAAAUGACUACAGCUCCACUUUUAUCUCAUACAGAAAAUUUCCCUCAUAAGAACACAUAUAAAAAUUUUCUUUUUAUUCAUAGAGACAGAUGAUGUAAUAAACGUGGGACUCUGUCCCUCUGGGAAUGCAUUGACUACCUUCCUUCAAGGGAACCUAGCCCACACAGGAUGGAAGAAAUCAUUUUCUUUCCUUCCUGUCACUUUGCCCUUAUAUUCUCCUUCUAUUUCCCUGUGUUGCUGUAAUGUCUCCUCUGGGAAGAAAGCCAUCAAUUGUGCUCUCGGUUCUGGGGUUUGGUUUCUGAGAGUUACAGAUGGAAGGUGGUGGUGGGGAAAAACUUACUGUAGGUUUCUCAGCUAUGAAACCUCUCCUUCCCUUUUUACUUGAACAUGCUCACAAGCACCCAAACACCUAAAAGGGUCUGGUUUUCUCUCAGAUGGAGAGAUGAAACACUAAUCCAUUUGGUUCACAAAAAGGUGUUACAGUAUCUGCUAUCAGAUAGGUUAUGUGAUGAACUCACUGUCACAUCUUGCCUCAGAUUAACAUCCAAAAGG